CUACGGGCGGCACCAGUGGGGAAUAUUGCACAAUGGGCGCAAGCCUGAUGCAGCCAUGCCGCGUGUAUGAAGAAGGCCUUCGGGUUGUAAAGUACUUUCAGCGGGGAGGAAGGGAGUAAAGUUAAUACCUUUGCUCAUUGACGUUACCCGCAGAAGAAGCACCGGCUAACUCCGUGCCAGCAGCCGCGGUAAUACGGAGGGUGCAAGCGUUAAUCGGAAUUACUGGGCGUAAAGCGCACGCAGGCGGUUUGUUAAGUCAGAUGUGAAAUCCCCGGGCUCAACCCGGGAACUGCAUCUGAUACUGGCAAGCUUGAGUCUCGUAGAGGGGGGUAGAAUUCCAGGUGUAGCGGUGAAAUGCGUAGAGAUCUGGAGGAAUACCGGUGGCGAGGGCGGCCCCCUGGACGAAGACUGACGCUCAAGUGCGAAAGCGUGGGGAGCAAACAGGAUUAGAUACCCGGGUAGUC
rnacentral:rRNA from 1 species